rnacentral:rRNA from 1 species
AAAUGAAUUGACGGGGACCCGCACAAGCGGUGGAUUAUGUUCUUUAAUUCGAUGAUAACCGAAGAACCUUACCAGGGUUUGACAUCCUUGGAAUUACUAUGAAAGUAGUGAGUGCUUUAUUGAGCCAAGUGACAGGUGAUGCAUGGCCGUCGUCAGCUCGUGUCGUGAGAUGUUUGGUUAAGUCCAUCAACGAGCGCAACCCUUGUGAUUAGUUGUAUUUUUCUAAUCAGACUGCCCCGGUAACGGGGAGGAAGGAGGGGAUGAUGUCAGGUCAGUAUUUCCCUUACACCCUGGGCUAGAAACGUAAUACAAUGGUCAGCACAAUGCGCAGCGAAGCCGCGAGGUGGAGCAAAUCGCAUCAAAACUGAUCCCAGUUCGGAUAAGAGGCUGAAACUCGCCUCUUUGAAGUCGGAAUCGCUAGUAAUCGCAGAUCAGCAAGCUGCGGUGAAUACGUUCCCGGGUCUUGCACACACCGCCCGU